CAUCAAACUUGGGUCCAUAGUUCCUCAUGUCCUCCUUAGGCACCGUGCACAAUUUCAGACCAUAACCACUAGGUGGCGCUCUUUAAAAUGAAGGAGUUUAUAUCUCUGCAACGGCACGUGUGAUUAAAAUGAAACUUGGUAGGAUGCUUGCCCAUGGCUCACUGAGGCUCCCCAAAAAAGGAAAAAAAAUCAGGCCACUGGGUGGCGCUCUGGUGGCAGGAUAAAUCACUGUGCGGACACCGUAAUAGUUAUGAAUAUGAAAUUCACAGGGCACGUGUAGAGUAGUGCCUGAAGCUCACAUACCAAAAAUCGUGUUUGUCGUGUGUGUAGCGCCCCCUACAGGAUAAAAAAACAGCAGCCCCGGCACCAUGUUUCACCGAUAUGUACGAAACUCGGUAGGCCCGUUUAGAAUGCCGGGACGUACAAAAAAGCCUCUUGGACCCAUACCCGAAACCCCACAGGAAGUCGGCCAUUUUGAUUUAAAGUUUCACUUUCGGUGAACUUUUCGCGUUGUAUUUGAACGAACUCCUCCUAGGGAAUUUAUCGGAUAUGCUUCAAAAUUUGUGAGUUAACUCAAAAAAUGGUCCUGAUUAAAAGUUGUGCUAUUUGUGCAUGUACGUUGAAGGGCGUGUCCGUGGCGUGGCAUCAAAGUCAGCCGUUUACAGUUUUUUGGCCAUUUUCUGUGAUUUUUCGCGUUGUAUUUGAACGAACUCCUCCUAGGCAAUUUAUCGGAUCUACUUCAAAUUUAAUCAGCGCAAUCUAAAGACAUUCAUGAUUAAAAGUUGUGCUAUUUACGACAUUCCGUCAAACGGCGUGUCCGUGGCUUGCCAUCAAAGUCAGCCAUUUUGCAUUCUGUGCUCAUUUUCUGUGAUUUUUCGCCUUGUAUUUGAACGAACUCCUCCUAGGGAAUUUAUCGGAUCUACUUCAAAUUUAAUCAGCGCAAUCUAAAGACAUUCAUGAUUAAAAGUUGUGCUAUUUACGACAUUCCGUCAAACGGCGUACCCGUGGCGUUGCGUUGAAUUUCGACCAUACACCAUAAACAGAUAGUACUCAACUUCAGUGUACAGUCCCACCCUGAACACGUCCUCAUAACUUCAGCGUACAUGAUCCAAUCUCAAUGAAACUUCACGUGUUUGAUAACAGUCCCACCCUGAACACGUCUACAUGACAAUAUUCAGACAUAGUGAUAGCGCCACCUUCUGGCAACAGGUGGUAAGCGCUGCAUGGCGAUUUUGUGCUGCGUUACGUGAAAUGACGGUGCCAGUGACGACUUGUCAAAUUCAGUGGAUUCGCCAUGAAAUGCCACUCAUAACUUCAGUGUGCAAUGUCCAAUCUCCAGUGAACUUCAUAUAUUCUGUAACAGUCUCGCCCUGAACACGUCCUCAUAACUUCAGCGUACGUGGUCCAAUCUCAAUGAAACUUCACGUGUGUUACAACAGUCCCGCCCUGAACUUGUCUACAUGACAAUAUUAAGACAUAGUGAUAGCGCCACCUUCCGGCAACAGGUGGUAAGCGCUGUGUGGCGAUUUUGAGCUGAUUUACGUGACAUUUUCAUGUUGUGGUCCCCACGUGUUACGACGGCACGCGACGCGGCCGCAGCACGCCCCGAGUUGGGUGGAGUGCGAGGUCCCGCUCAACGCUGCUUGCAGCUUUAAUUAGGGACCUCGCAAGCGACCGCUGGAGGUCCCUAUUGUUUUUGCUCGAUUUCUUCUUCUUACCUAUUAUUAUUUUUAGCCCCCAUUGACUGCAUUUUUGCCCCCCUGAACAUAUACGAAAACUCAAUUUUAUUUGGCAAAGUGAUCAGGCCUGGUGAAAAUGGGGAUAUUACAUGUGUCGCUUUCGGGUCUGCCACUAGGUGGCGCUACUAUAAUAAAAAAUACGUUUAGGCUAAUAACUUCUGCAUACUUUGUCGCACAUUCAAAAAACUUACAUCCACGUGUUCGGUGAAUGGAGCUGAAUCUCCCCAUAUAAGCCCCGCCCACUUCCGCCUAGAAUUUUUUUUUUCUAGAGCGCAAAAUGUCCAUAAACUACUUUUAAGUGUUCCUCCUACACGCUUUUUCCGAUUCACACGAAAUUUUUCACCUACUACCUGGGGACCGCCCUGGCAAAAAGGCUAAUUUGAACAUUUUUGAAAUUUAAAAAAAUAAGCACGCUAUAAAAUUCCAACUUCCUGUAGAUUUUUCGUCAAAAAAGGAAGUGGACCAUUUCUCCACAUUGGUAUGUCCGAUUGACACCAAACUUGGGUCUAUAGUUCCACAUGUCUUCCUUAAGCAUCGUGCACAUUUUCAGGCCAUUGCCACUAGGUGGCGCUCUUUAAAAUGAAGAAGUCUAUAUCUCUACAACGGUAUAUGUGAUUAAGAUGAAACUUGGUAUGAUGCUUCCCCCUGGCUCCCUGAGGCUCCCUUAAAAAGGAAAAACAAAAUACGCCACUAGGUGGCGCUCUUUUGGCAUGGUAAAUCACUGUGCGAAUACCGUAAUAGUUAUUAAUAUGAAAUUCACAGGGCACGUGUAGAGUAGUGCCUGAAGCUCACAUACCAAAAAUCGUGUUCGUCAUGUGUGUAGCGCCCCCUACAGGAUAAAAAAACAGAAGCCCCGGCGCCACGUUUCACCGAUAUGUACGAAACUCGGUAGGCACGUGUAACAUGCCGGGACGUACAAAAAAGCCUCUUGGACCCAUACCCCAAACCCCACAGGAAGUCGGCCAUUUUCAUUUUCAUUUUC